rnacentral:lncRNA from 1 species
CACCCCAGAAUUCCCUGCCUCCGUGCAUGUUAUGGCACCUUUGGGAUGUGUUAGUCAUAAGAAUGAAGCUACUGGUGCUUUGCAGGGAUAUUUUCACUCUGGCUCUCGCAGGAGAGCUCUGACACAGCCCUGCUGUCGGCACGGCUGGGGCGCCUUUGCUCGCUGGUGCCUCCUGAGAUUCCAGACCGCUCCAAAAAAAAAGGGGGAAACGUCCAAUUUUUAUUUCCUCAGGGAACACCAAGAAAAUUUUUCUUUCCGAGCCUGUCUCCUGAAACGAGCUCCAGGAGUGGUCACAACCUGCCAUAAAAAUGCCAUGUGCAAGAGAAUAUAUUUAAUAUCAGGCAAGCAGAAUGGAACGAUACGAUCUGUUUGGGGUUCGAAGAUUGGAAGGGGAAGAUAAAUACCCUGGUAGCUGAGAUAAUCCUGGUGGAACAAUCCUGUAAUAUCUGCUGCAAGCUGCGUGCACGACUGGAUUGGGAACUUCCCAAUGGGAACAUUUCCAGUGUGAGCAGUGUCUCGCCUCUGAUUUAAAUUCCCUUAAUUCUACCCUUGAAGUUUCUAGUCCUUUACACUUAAAAAGGGAGAACUGCUUAUUAUUUGUGCUUGGGAAAGGAGACAAGACCUUUGAGUCUCAAAAUGUGCUUUUUUUUCCUUUUCCUUUCCUUCAGAAAAAUGUAAUUGCACACAAACCCCCUCUAAACAAUUCUCCUUGGCUGCCUGAAGAGUCCCUUGGCUGAAUUGUAAAUCACUGUAAAGUGCACCAAAAUAAAAAAAAAAUAGCAAGAUCA